AGUUUGACGAUGUUGUACUCCCGUGCGGGCCGGUUGCUAUAUACCACGGACAUGUUUUGGGGGGCCACCCAAAAUGAAGUGGCGGGCCAUAUCCGGCCCACGGGCCGUAGUUUGGGGACCACUGCACUAGUGUCUGUAGUUGGUCAGUUACAUCAUGAGUAUGUUUGUGCCAUUAGAGUCUGUAGUUGGUCAGUUACAAAACAUCAUGAGUGUGUUUGUGCCACUAGAGUCUGUAGUUGGUCAGUUACAUCAUGAGUGUGUUUGUGCUGCUAGAGUCUUUUGGUCAGAUACAUCAUGAGUGUGU